AUAUGUCAACCUCUUCAAGCUUUUGCCUGUUGAGUGUUGGAUGUGGGGGGUCUUUUUUGCUGGCUUCUCUUUCUGAGGUCAGCUCCCCUGAAAUGCAUUAGCGGGAACAAUUUGUUGAUCGUUCAUUGGUGUGAUAAUUAUCUACGCUAUUGACGUUAAGCAGUUCAGCUUCUAACAGUCCAUUGACUUGGACAAAUUUUCAUUA
rnacentral:misc_RNA from 2 species